GAUUUGCAUGCCACGAUCAAUUGGAGGAGAAUUGAUUCCAGCUGAUCCUGAAAUCGAGAGCACCUUUCAUCGACUACAAAGAGAUCACCGAGAAGCACAAGUACAAAUGGCUAACGAACUAAACAAUCCCAUUAUUCAGGCUAAUGAAGGAGAGGCAAUGGACGAAAAAAAAUGAGAUUUUGGGAUAUUUCUUGACUCCUCAAAUAAUUCAAAGUCAACCCAGCAUAGUGUAUCCACCGUUUGGACAGCUAAAUUUCUAGUUGAAGACCAAUGUGAUACAAUUAUUUCAAAAUGGACACCAGUUUUAUGGCAAAACCGAGGAGAAUCCACAUACACACAUAUCUCAAUUUUUGGAUAUGUGUUAACAUUUCAGAUACCAAGGGAUUUCGGAUGAUGCUAUUAGGCUAAGUCUGUUUCCACAUACGCUACGAGACAGAGCACUUGAAUGGUUGUAUUCACUUCCGAUUGCAAGUAACACUACAUGGAACGAGUUGGCACACAAAUUCUGCACAAUUUUUUUCUCCCCAGCCAAGAUAGCGAAGCUGAGACAUGACAUAUCAAUAUUCAAGGAGAAAUCAAAUCAUUUGACGAAGGUUGGAACAUAUUCAAAAACAUGCUCCGGAAGUGCCCUCAACAUGAAUUUGAUAAAAAGACCCAAAUUCGAUUCUUCUACACAGGGAUAAUUCCAUACCACAAGAGCAUGGUGGAUUCAGCAUCAGAUGGCUCAAUAUCCACACGAACAGAUGGGGCAUUGGAAUUAUUUGAGAGAAUGGCUACCACAUCAGCCAUGCGGUCUUCUGAGAGGGCGAUUCCAAAGAAAACUCCGGGUGUCUAUGAGGUGGAUACUUAUUCAGCAAUUUCUGCAAAAAUCGACUCUUUAUAUCAUAAGGUGGAAAGUAUAUCACAAGCAGCACAAGCUAAGAAGAGCAACUGUGAUGAAUGUGGAGCUGAGCAUAAAACAUCGGAGUGCCCGAUACUCAUGCAAGGAAUUGAGCAAGCAGACUAUACACAGUGGGGACAACGCCAACAAUACAAUCAAUAUGGAAAAACUUUCAAUCCCAGUUGGAUGAAGCAUUCCAACUUCUCUUGGAGCAACCAGAAUCAAAUAGGCUACAUGGACAAUAUCAACAAUAAGAGAAGAGGCCUCAAUUGGAAGAUAUGAUAGGAAAAUUAAUGGAGAAAGUCGAAGCUACUCUUCAAAAUUAAAAUGCAGUGAUCAAAAAUUUGGAAACUCAAAUGGGACAGUUGGCCAUAGCAUUGACUGGCAGAACGCCAGGUAACUUGUCGAGUAAUACAGAAAUCAAUCCCAAAGAGCAAGCCAAGGCCAUUACAACUCGAAGUGGAGUACAAUUGCUUGAAAUCCAUAUCAAGAGACCGGGUGUGAUUAGAGAGACAUCUUCCCCUGCUGAAGAAGAGACUGUUGUAAAGGAAUCAAUUUCAAAGGAAAAUUCAGAAAAGUCAUAGGAUAAGGCCAAAGUCACAGUCAACCCCUACGAGCCUCCGAUUUCUUUUCCACAGCGGUUGAAGAAUCAAAAAUUGGAGCAACAAUACAAAAAAUUUCUAGAAGUCUUCAAAAAGCUCCAUAUCAACAUCCCACUAGCCGAUGCACUAUUCUAGAUGCCUAGCUACGCGAAGUUUCUCAAAGAUAUUAUAUCAAACAAACGCAAGCUGGAAGACCAUGUGACAGUAAUGCUUACGGAGGAGUGCAGUGCCAGAAUCCAGAAAAAGCUCCCACCAAAACUGAAAGAUCUAGGGAGUUUCACUGUCCCUUGCACAAUUGGUGAUUUUUAUUUUGAUAAAGCAUUAUGUGACAGUAAUGCUUACGGAGGAAUGCAGUGCCAGAAUCCAGAAAAAGCUCCCACCAAAACUGAAAGAUCCAGGGAGUUUCACUGUCCCUUGCACAAUUGGUGAUUAUAAUUUUGAUAAAGCAUUGUGUGAUCUCGGUGCGAGUAUUAACUUGAUGCCACUCUCUAUUUUUAGGAAACUAGGAUUGGGAGAGCUUAAGGCAACCACAGUAACUCUACAGCUAGCUGAUCAAUCACUUAUACAUCCACGAGGGAUUAUUGAAGAUGUAUUGGUCAAAGUGGAUAAACUCAUAUUCCCAGCAGACUUCUUGAUUUUGGAUAUGGAAGAAGACAAGGACGUGCCUGUCAUAUUGGGACGACCAUUUUUAGCUACUGCAAGAGCCAUCAUAAAUGUGCAGCAAGGAUAAUUAACUCUGAGGUUAGGGGAGGAACAAGUCUCUUUUAAUGUUUUCAAGGCAAUGAAAUACCCAAUGAGCCUGAAAGCUAUUUCCAGAUUGAAGUGCUUGACAUAGGAAUCCCCUAUAAUUUUGAGUUGAAGAAACAGCCAAACAUUCAUGAGGCCUGUAUAGUACACUCUCCAUCCAUUCUUAUCGAUUCAAAGGAGAUUAAGGCAUGUGGAAUUUCAUACGGAUGAGGAGAGAAUGACAAAUCACUUGGAGAAAGACAGGGAUGGAAUUAGGAGGAUAACUGUAGUGCGGAACAAGACCAUAUUGAACAAACUAUGCAGGACCUCUGAAGCCAUAUUUAAAGUGCCAUAAAAUACAUGUGCCAAAAGUCGAGCUAUCGACUAUAAAAUAGCGCUGAUUGGGAAGCAACCCAACGUCUUUACCCUUUAUUUAUUUCAUUUUACAUUAGUCUAGGAGUUUUUCAAUUUUUCAACAUUUUUAUAAGUUUAGGUUAUCGUUCAUCCAUGCAUGUCAAUAAUUAGCCCAACCACAAUCCACACGAGUUCCAAUGCAUUGAGCACGAGUCAUAAGGUUGAAGUCUUGUUUUAGUCAGUCAUGAGUCAAAUUAAACAAAGUGCAUGAUUAGAGCUAAACUUUGUUGGUGAUUCACAUUUUUGUGAUAUGAACUUUAUAUUGAGAUAUAAUUUAUGCAUCUUACACGCUAAUAGUGUACACAUGCAUCUUGAAAUAAGUUUGGGGGAAUGGUGUGUCACAUGGAUUCCUUCAUGCACACCCAAGUUUAUCAAUUAUCACCAUAAGAUAUAAUACACAUACUUUGCACUUUUGUAGGAUGUCGCCAAAAAGACCUCAAUAGGAAAAGAGAAGGUCGGCUCCACAUAUGGCAUUACAGGUCCCGAUUUUCGACCACCUCCAUACUGAUCAGGGGAGUACAAGUUAUCCCAUUUCUUGUGCUUUCAGUUUAUUUUGUUCCUCAAUUAUAUGUAUUUGAACUUCUACUUUAUUUCAACAAUGAGGGCAAAAUUAUGUCUUUAAUCUUUCGUUAAUCUUACAUUGAGGAUAAUGUAUUAACUAAGUUUGGGGGUGACAUACUUUUAAAUCUUUAUCUGCGUUCAUCAGCAUCUGUAUUCCAUGAUAGCAUAAUGUAUGCAUGAUGAGUGUUAAAAAUAAAUAAAAUAAAAUAAAAUUUCAUGCAUGAUUGUAUGGGCUUGAUAACCUUGCUAGCUAUGAUGUUAUUAUUGG
rnacentral:lncRNA from 1 species